rnacentral:rRNA from 1 species
AUGCAUGAUUCGGCAGAGAAGGCAGCUGCGGAUAUGGAUUUCAGUGAGGAGGUUCUCAGGCAUGAGUCUGGAAAUAGAGGUGAAGGAAACACAAAGCUGGUUCUUGGGAACAACGAUUCUGGUGCUGCUGUCAGUGUGGGUACCAGGACCAGGAAGUUCAGUCGUGAUGAUAAAGGAAAGGGGAAGAUGGUUGUGGAAGAGGUUUUAUUGCCCCAGAAGUUAAGUGAUGAUGAGAUGGAUUGGCAACCUGUGGUUUUAGAGGAGAAUCAGAGCGUCUCAGGAGCAGCUGAUGCUGAUGUGGAGCCACUUUGGAGGCAAGCGGCAAGAGAGAGAGCUAUUAAGCUGGCACCAAAAUUUGCAUUCUUCAAAGCAGAUGAAGAUGUACAUAGUGAUGAAGAUGAUGAAGAAGAGUUAGAGCCUGCGGCUGAUGCUCAGGAUUGGCCAGGUCCAUAUUCUACUGCAUUGAGGAUCAUGGAUGAUAGAGAUGCCAAAUUGAGAGCCAGGGAGUUGGGUCCGUCGUCUAAACUAGCUAAUGAUGCUGAUAAUGUCAUUCUGUGGACACCUUUGAAAAACAAGAAAGCUCCGCUGCGACCUGUCCCAUCACUUGCAAGCUUAUGCAUGCAAACUCUUGCAAGCCAUGCUGAAGGUAUUGAAUCACUUGGAGGCAUACCUGAGGACCUAAAACAUAAACUUCUCACGGAACUGUGCCGUUCUAGGAAGAUGAAUACCCAUCUUCUUACUGAAAUCUUGUGUGACAAUCCUGUGGCACUGCAGCUUAGGGAGUGUUCCUGGUUGAAUGAGGAUGACUUUGAGGCUGUUUUUGGUAAAUGCAUGAUUGAAUCCUUAGAGGUUCUGCAGCUUGACUUAUCUGGGCGAUGCAUGCCUGACUAUAUUUUGCCUACUACCUUGGCAAAGGUUCCAAAUUGCAUGCCAUUAUUAAGAAAAAUAUCUCUGAUGGGAAAUUACCGUCUUUCUGAUAAUGGGUUAGACAAACUCAUCUCAGCAGCACCUUCUCUGAGUUCGCUAAAUUUAAGCGAGUGUUCUCUUCUCACAUCAACUGGAAUUGAGAAUCUUGCUAAUAGGCUGCAAUCUGUAUUGAGAGAACUAUAUAUUAAUGACUGCCUAAAUGUGGAUGCCAUGAUGAUUCUUCCUGCUCUAAAGAAAAUUAAACAACUGGAGGUUUUAUCAAUGUCUGGCAUACAGUCUGUCUGUGACAAGUUUGUGAAUGAGCUCAUUCCUAUACAUGGCCCUAAUAUAAGGGAGUUAGCGUUUGCUGGUUGCCUGAAACUGACCUCAUCCUCCAUUAAGACUAUUGGGGUGAACUGCCCCCAGUUAUCAUCUUUAGAUAUACGAAACUUGAGUAGGUUGCGUGACUCAGCAACGAGACAUCUUCGUGAUGGCUGUCGUUUUAUAAAGAAAUUAAAGCUUCAAAAGAAUACAUUCAGUGAUGAAGCACUGUCUCAGUUUUUGGAAGAAUCUGGAGGAUGUCUAACUGAGUUGAGCCUAAACAACAUUGAGAAGGUUGGAAACCUUACUUCACGGUCGAUUGCUCUCAAGUGCUCCGUACGCUUGGAGGUUCUGGAUGUUUCCUUCUGCCGUGGUCUGACCAAUGAAGCUUUGGGCCUGAUUGUUGACAGUUGCUCAUCAUUGAGAACUCUCAAGCUAUUUGGGUGUACCCAGAUCACGGAUAUUUUCCUCAAGGGCCACUCGAACUCAUUGGCUAAAAUUAUUGGGAUAGAAGGGAGCAUACUGGAGCAAUUGGGUGGUUAUUAG